rnacentral:rRNA from 1 species
GAUGAACGCUGGCGGCGUGCCUAAUACAUGCAAGUCGAGCGAACGGACGAGGAGCUUGCUUCUCUGAUGUUAGCGGCGGACGGGUGAGUAACACGUGGAUAACCUACCUAUAAGACUGGGAUAACUUCGGGAAACCGUAGCUAAUACCGGAUAAUAUUUUGAACCGCAUGGUUCAAAAGUGAAAGACGGUCUUGCUGUCACUUAUAGAUGGAUCCGCGCUGCAUUAGCUAGUUGGUAAGGUAACGGCUUACCAAGGCAACGAUGCAUAGCCGACCUGAGAGGGUGAUAGGCCACCCUGGAACGGAGACACGGUCCAGACUCCUACGGGAGGCAGCAGUAGGGAAUCUUCCGCAAUGGGCGAAAGCCUGACGGAGCAACGCCGCGUGAGUGAUGAAGGUCUUCGGAUCGUAAAACUCUGUUAUUAGGGAAGAACAGAUGUGUAAGUAACUGUGCACAUCUUGACGGUACCUAAUCAGAAAGCCACGGCUAACUACGUG